rnacentral:rRNA from 1 species
CACAUGCAAGUCGAGCGAAGGAAUACUUAGGAAGCCUUCGGGAAGAAUACGUAUUCCUGAGCGGCGGACGGGUGAGUAACGCGUGAGGAAUCUGCCUCGCACAAGGGGAUAGCCUCGGGAAACCGGGAUUAAUACCCUAUGAUACUUACACUGCGCAUGCAGAGUAAGUUAAAGAAUAUCGGUGUGAGAUGACCUCGCGUCCCAUUAGCUAGUUGGCAGGGUAAAAGCCUACCAAGGCGACGAUGGGUAGCCGGCCUGAGAGGGUGAACGGCCACAUUGGAACUGAGACACGGUCCAGACUCCUACGGGAGGCAGCAGUGGGGAAUAUUGCACAAUGGAGGGAACUCUGAUGCAGCAACGCCGCGUGAGCGAAGAAGGUUUUAGGAUCGUAAAGCUCUGUCCUAGGGGAAGAUAAUGACGGUACCCGAGGAGGAAGCCCCGGCUAACUACGUGCCAGCAGCCGCGGUAAUACGUAGGGGGCGAGCGUUGUCCGGAAUUAUUGGGCGUAAAGGGUGCGUAGGCGGCUGAACAAGUCAGAUGUGAAAGGUUAAGGCUUAACUUUAAUAAGCAUAUGAAACUGUUCAGCUUGAGUUAAGGAGAGGGGAGUGGAAUUCCUAGUGUAGCGGUGAAAUGCGUAGAUAUUAGGAGGAAUACCAGUGGCGAAGGCGACUCUCUGGACUUAAACUGACGCUGAGGCACGAAAGCGUGGGGAGCA